AGGUGUUUAACUCAGAGGAAAGAGUAACGCUAUUACAAGGCGUAAGCCGGGAGUUCGAUUCUCUCAACACCUA
rfam:Candidatus Nasuia deltocephalinicola str. NAS-ALF, complete genome.